ensembl:lncRNA
CAUCGAUACAUGUUAACAGUAACACAUGGUGCUUGUCCGGCAGGAUAAAUGAGGACGCGAACAGUUCCUGAUCAUAUUCGUCACAGACGGUUUCCUCUCUAUGUUGCCACCUAUUGCAUCAGCGGACGACCAAAACGUUUCGCGGAGAGUUGCGUUCAUGAACGAUUUUGGUGUUUUUGAACAAAUUACAUUUCUCUUUUUAUUUAAUAAAUACAAAUAAAAAUGUGAUUUACAAAUAUUAUUUGUUUACUUAAAAGAUUUCUUCCAUCCAUCCAUCUAUACACACACAAUUAUUAUUUUAUAUUAUUAUUAUUAUUUUGCAUUUCAACCAGGCUUUAUUUGCUGGGUUAUGUGUCUCAUGCCCUGAAGAUCCUUUGCUCUUUAUAGAGGAGAAGAUCCUAUCAAUCCUAGAGGAUCAGGAUUGUGAGAUUUGUUCUUCUGAAUUAUUUUUGACAUGUAUGGCUCUCUAAUGUUAAAUCGAGCUUAUUAGCAGUAAACAGUUUUAAUACAGUAAAUAACAUCUCUAAAAUGUAAACUGUUUCUGAAUUCAGGCACACAUUUAUUGACGAAGACAAACAAAUCUCCUCAUAGGCAGGAGGCAUUGUGUAUGAUAUGUUUGGAAAUCUUUCUGUCUUUCUGUAAUCAUUUAUUAAUUUCCAGCUCUCACAGUGUCUGUCACAUUUACUGGAGAAAGUGUACCCCUGUUAUCGCACCAACCUGACCAAAAUGUGCUUCAUGUGAGUGUCAAAACUAUAGACUGUAGUAUAAAAGAGUCACAACAACAAACAAAACCUGCCUUAGCUACAAAAACCCUGGGCCUGUAUGUCAGCUAGCUUUAUGACUGAUGCUUUGUAUUAAGGGGUUGGAAGAGUUAUAUUUCAAUGAAGAAAAUGAAGGCUGGAGACUCCUGAAGAGAAUGGAAAAGACUGAGAUGUAUCACAAACAGAGAUGGAUAAAACUGGCUUUCAUCAAGUGGACAGCGUGGGUUCAGUUUCGCAAAAAGAGGCAGAAUGGUAAUAACCGAAUGACAGACAGCAGCUUGAAGGCUCUGUGCUGAAGCUCUC